AGCUUUGCGCAGUGGCAGUAUCGUAGCCAAUGAGGUUUAUCCGAGGCGCGAUUAUUGCUAAUUAAAAGCUAAAUAACACCAUUUUUCCCCUAUCUUACAGUGAUAAGGUGAUUAGACUUACUCCCAAUACAGAAGAAG